rnacentral:rRNA from 1 species
CCUACGGGAGGCUGCAGUGAGGAAUAUUGGUCAAUGGACGAGAGUCUGAACCAGCCAAGUAGCGUGAAGGAUGACUGCCCUAUGGGUUGUAAACUUCUUUUAUGUGGGAAUAAAACAUGGUGUGCAUACCCUCUUGUAUUGACCAUACGAGUAAGGAUCGGCUAACUCCGUGCCAGCAGCCGCGGUAAUACGGAGCGUCCGAGCGUUAUCCGGAUUUAUUGGGUGUAAAGGGAGCGUAGGUGGAUUGUUAAGUCAGUUGUGAAAGUUUGCGGCUCAACCGGAAAAUUGCAGUUGAAACUGGCAGUCUUGAGUCCCGUAGAGGUGGGCGGAAUUCGAGGUGUAGCGGUGAAAUGCUUAGAUAUCACGAAGAACACCGAUUGCGAAGGCAGCCCCCUGGACUGCGACUGACGCUGAUGCUCGAAAGUGUGGGUAGCAAACAGGAUUAGAUACCCCUGUAGUC